GCUGAGCCAACCGGGUAUUGUGCAUAGGAGCCAGGUGUAUUGACCCUGCAGUGCUGGCCCCCUGUUAGUUUUUCAUCACAGCGAGGUAGGCAAGUCCAUUGGAUCUGUCCUUAGCUCCACUCCUAUACUUAAGUGCUGGUCUCUGCUAAUUCCGAGCUCUAGCCAAAAACCUCUACAAAGAUGUUGGAGACCUGGUGUUCAUGCUGAUGUUAACUCUCCCCAGCCCCUCCCAAGUUGGCACUGUCCAAAGCUUGCACGCCGUGACCUACCAGUAGUGACCAUGCCGGUCAGUUUGGCCAUCUCGCCGUGGCCAGGACAACUCAGCAAAGUACACGAUCAUGCUAUGUUUGUUCUGUGAUCACCUUGUCAUGGCCAGAACGGAGUCACGUCAUCGUGGAACUAGCGCUGCGGGCAGCCUCACCGUGGACCGAUCGACUGGAGUCAUCCCUGGUCAAUCUCGCGCACGCACCGAGACUUUGGAAGAACACCUAGAAGAAGUGGUGUUUGAAGGAGUCAACUCCAGUGGUUGCUGAUCAAGUGGAGGAGCCAUCUAACUGUGUAUUGGAUAGAGGGAUCUAGAGCCUCUUUACUGCAACAAAGGCAAGCCCCGGUGCAUUUGCCCCUUCCUUGUAUUUUAAAUGACUUUUAUACACUUUAAGACUAAUGAAAUGUGCAUUAAGUUUAUAGGAGUUGCUUGGAAACUAUUGGAUGCAUUGCCUACCUUGAUAUCCAUACCUUUAUAGAUAAUUCUAAUGAAGUAUCAAAAUAUGAUUUACAAAAAUGAUUAGCCCUGCUUAGAUCUUGUGGAUAGAGGUUGUCCUUUGCAAUAAUGCAUACCUCAGGGGUUAUCCUGACGAAUGAUGGCUUCUACUUGCAAGAAUAUUUUCAUUGGGAGAAUGGUGGGAUCUUACUGCAAAGUUCCCUAUAAUGCUCUUUUCAUCCUAAGGAACACAAACAAUCCUAAGCAUGGAAGUACUUAAAUCGGGACUUGGGUUAGGAACAGGUGAUGCUCCACCUAGGUUAAUUAAGGAUUGGAUGCGUAUGUAGGCCUGUAUGAUCAAGGACUAUCUUAACUGGCCACAUGCCCUGGAUAUGGGACAGGGUAAGCUUGAACCCGGCUAUUCCAUACGUGAAAAGACAACCGCGCACUGGGCUUGGGAGAUGGUGGGAGUAGCGUGUACCCUCCUGGCUAGAGCUGGAUGGAGGAGUACUGUGCUCCCGGGUAGCGCGGACCAGUUCACGUUGUGAAGGAUCUGUGGGAACGGUUGACAUAUGCAAGGGUUAAGUGCUACAUAUGUUGUGUGGUUAGAGAUCCUCAGCUGAGUAAAUCGAUUCAGAUCACUGUUAUAUCCCCGGAGAGUGGAGACUUGAUCUCCGACCUACAACCUAAGUCAGGAUGUAAACAUUAUGAGUAAAAAUGAUGUUGUAUUGAUGAGAUGGUGAAAUUAGACUAGAUGCAACCAGAGUCUAUUAAUAUUUAAUCUGGCGUUAAAAUAUUGAAAGUAAGGAAUCACUUUAGUAAGCUAUUUAUGCAAAAGUAUCUAAGUUGAUUCUUGCUAAAGCCUUUUCCUUGAUUCCUAUUUAACCAGCAUAUCCUUGAGAGUCAUUUUUCCUUAGUCGGGUAAGACUUGCGAAAGUACACUCCGUACUCAGGGUUUUCGAACCCAUGUUGUUGUAGGUGAUGAGGAGUACUCUAGGUGUUUCGGAGGCUGGAGGGCGUUUCCAGUUCUGGGGGAGGAUUAGUUAGGCUUGUGUAUAAGCUUUGGAGGGUUCCUACCUUCCUGUUAUUGUAAAAGGUUAUGCACUUUGAGUAUAUCAGGACUUGUAAUAAAUGUAACUCUUCCUAUGUAAUAACCUUCAGUUUUAGAAAUAAAAAUAAUGUUUUGUAAAGUCUUCUGCUCUUAUCUCCGAAGUGUGUGUACCGAAUGUGAUUACUGUAAUAUGCAUGUAUGGUGGGAGAUC